rnacentral:RNase_P_RNA from 1 species
GGCAGAGGGAGCCCGAUCCCCGUGCCCCCGCAGUCGCGGCGUCGCCGCCGGGACCCGUCGGGGCAUGAGGAAAGUCCCCCCACCGCCCGGACGGGCGACCGGACGCAAGUCCGGAGCCGGAGACGGCUGGCGCUGGAACAGAAACGACACCCCCCGGCCCGACCGAUGAGGUCCGCGAACCGACCCGCGAGGGGAGGGAGUUAACCGACCGAGGGCCCCGAGACUCCGCGUCUCGCGACGGCCGGGAACGGAUGGAACGGCGAAUCCUCGCCGGUGCAAGUCCGCGCCGACGGGGCGCACACGCGCCCCCGAUGGUAGUCCGGCCGCCGCCUCGCGCGGCGAGGCGCGGACGCGUAGCCGAAUGUCGGGACGAACAGAAGGGGGCUUACUCCCCUCAGCC